UACAGUGUAACAAUAACGUCUCUCUCGGGUCUCCCAGGCCCCGCGCACCCCAGCGCACCCCGCUCACAGGCCGGACACCUGCGUGGGGCCCUCGCGCCCGCCCUGAGCACCGACCGCCCCUGUGUCCCUCCAGCCCCGAAAUCGACCCUGGACCAAGCGCAAUGACGAGGUCCGAGAGACCGUGCAAGUGCCAGGAACAUCUCCCGGUGGUGGUCCCCGCGAUCCAGGCGCGGUUAACCUGGACUGCUGGAAGCUGGCAAGGUGGCCCAAGGGAGGUGCGGGAAGGUAGAGUCCCAUGGCUUCGCUUCUCACUCGCGGAGCUGGAUUGCUCACGUUACUCAGAUACAAUGUUUGAAUCAAGAGAAAAAGGAGCCUUGCAUUUCAGAGAACUUUUUGCUUAAGCGUUUCCCUGCCUAUGUCUAUUUGUCUUGCACAUCCAUGGAGGAUACCAUCAAUGACCAUCCCCAGUUUAAGAAAGAAAAAAGAAAAACUUUGUCAAGAUCUGUCAGCAAAUCAAGAUUUCUCUGAACUUUUCCCAAGGAAUCACUUCAUUGGCUCUUUUAGUCAUUCCACAAACACCUGUUGAGUAGACUGGGUAUCACACAGUUCCCUGAAUAUCAUAGGAUUUGCCCCAGAUGAACUUUUCUUUUAAAAUUAAAAAUGGCUUUGCUGGCCAGGUGCCUGGAGCUUGGAAC
rnacentral:lncRNA from 1 species